rnacentral:rRNA from 1 species
UGGCGGCGUGCCUAAUACAUGCAAGUCGAGCGAACCGACGGGAGCUUGCUCCCUUAGGUUAGCGGCGGACGGGUGAGUAACACGUGGGUAACCUGCCUGUAAGACUGGGAUAACUCCGGGAAACCGGGGCUAAUACCGGAUGCUUGAUUGAACCGCAUGGUUCAAUUAUAAAAGGUGGCUUUUAGCUACCACUUACAGAUGGACCCGCGGCGCAUUAGCUAGUUGGUGAGGUAACGGCUCACCAAGGCGACGAUGCGUAGCCGACCUGAGAGGGUGAUCGGCCACACUGGGACUGAGACACGGCCCAGACUCCUACGGGAGGCAGCAGUAGGGAAUCUUCCGCAAUGGACGAAAGUCUGACGGAGCAACGCCGCGUGAGUGAUGAAGGUUUUCGGAUCGUAAAACUCUGUUGUUAGGGAAGAACAAGUACCGUUCGAACAGGGCGGUGCCUUGACGGUACCUAACCAGAAAGCCACGGCUAACUACGUGCCAGCAGCCGCGGUAAUACGUAGGUGGCAAGCGUUGUCCGGAAUUAUUGGGCGUAAAGCGCGCGCAGGCGGUUUCUUAAGUCUGAUGUGAAAGCCCCCGGCUCAACCGGGGAGGGUCAUUGGAAACUGGGGAACUUGAGUGCAGAAGAGGAGAGUGGAAUUCCACGUGUAGCGGUGAAAUGCGUAGAGAUGUGGAGGAACACCAGUGGCGAAGGCGACUCUCUGGUCUGUAACUGACGCUGA